rnacentral:miRNA from 1 species
UGUGUGAAUGCAAUAAAA